AUCGAACGCUGGCGGCAGGCCUAACACAUGCAAGUCGAGCGGAUGACGGGAGCUUGCUCCUUGAUUCAGCGGCGGACGGGUGAGUAAUGCCUAGGAAUCUGCCUGGUAGUGGGGGACAACGUUUCGAAAGGAACGCUAAUACCGCAUACGUCCUACGGGAGAAAGCAGGGGACCUUCGGGCCUUGCGCUAUCAGAUGAGCCUAGGUCGGAUUAGCUAGUAGGUGAGGUAAUGGCUCACCUAGGCGACGAUCCGUAACUGCUCUGAGGGGAUGAGCCGUCAGACUGGAUCUGAGACACGGUCCAGACUCCUACGGUGGGCAGCAGUGGGGAAUAUUGGACAAUGGGCGAAAGCCUGAUCCAGCCAUGCCGCGUGUGUGAAGAAGGUCUUCGGAUUGUAAAGCACUUUAAGUUGGGAGGAAGGGCAGUAAGCUAAUACCUUGCUGUUUUGACGUUACCGACAGAAUAAGCACCGGCUAACUCUGUGCCAGCAGCCGCCGCCGUAA
rnacentral:rRNA from 1 species